rnacentral:rRNA from 1 species
AGUCGAGCGGUAACAUUUCUAGCUUGCUAGAAGAUGACGAGCGGCGGACGGGUGAGUAACGCGUAGGAAUCUACCUAUUGGUGGGGGAUAGCCCAGGGAAACUUGGAUUAAUACCGCAUAAGCUCUUAGGAGGAAAGCGGGGGAUCUUCGGACCUCGUGCCAAUAGAUGAGCCUGCGUAAGAUUAGCUAGAUGGUGGGGUAAUGGCCUACCAUGGCGACGAUCUUUAGCUGGUCUGAGAGGAUGAUCAGCCACACUGGGACUGAGACACGGCCCAGACUCCUACGGGAGGCAGCAGUGGGGAAUAUUGCACAAUGGGCGCAAGCCUGAUGCAGCCAUGCCGCGUGUGUGAAGAAGGCCUUAGGGUUGUAAAGCGCUUUCAGUGGGGAGGAAAGGUUAUAAGUUAAUACCUUAUAGCUGUGACGUUACCCACAGAAGAAGGACCGGCUA